rnacentral:rRNA from 1 species
UACGAAGGGGGCUAGCGUUGCUCGGAAUCACUGGGCGUAAAGGGUGCGUAGGCGGGGCUUUAAGUCAGGGGUGAAAUCCUGGAGCUCAACUCCAGAACUGCCUUUGAUACUGAAGAUCUUGAGUUCGGGAGAGGUGAGUGGAACUGCGAGUGUAGAGGUGAAAUUCGUAGAUAUUCGCAAGAACACCAGUGGCGAAGGCGGCUCACUGGCUCGAUACUGACGCUGAGGCACGAAAGCGUGGGGAGCAAACAGG